GAUCCUAUAAAUAUCUUCUUCCAAACGAAAAAACCGAUAUCUUUCAUGUCUAAAUCUAAAUAAAGUUUUAGUAUGAAAGUUAACUUCCAAUAACCAAAUAGAAUGGAUCUAGAUCUAAUAAAAACAACUCUAACUAGUCAAAUUAAAAAAUUCCUUGAAAUAGCUAUAAGUUAAGGUGUGAAAUUGUAAAUAUCAUUUGUGACUCAAGUUCAUAUGACAAAAAUUGUGUUCGUAUCAUGCUAGUACAUCUUUUUUAAACUUAUACGAAAACAUUCCAGUUAUCCAUAUAAUGCAUUGCAG
rnacentral:lncRNA from 1 species